AGAAAUCCAUUUCUUGAUCGAAGAUGCAACAGUAAACACUGAGUAACGAAGAAAAGAUCAUUGCGAAGCUGUUGGUCGAAUCGAUUUCAAGCGUUGAGUGACAGAUUGUGUCUACAUCAGGAGUAAAAUCACAAAGCUAAAGCUGAGCAUAUUUAAUCACAUGAUGAUUUGAGACCAAUCAAGUGUGAACAAAUAUA